ACUCUGGAGACAUGAACCACUGUGAGGACCCUGGCUGCAGCCUCAAUCCUGCCACCUGUCCUGAACCAGCUGAAGCACUUUCCUCCUGCUGCAGGUGCAGGCUCAGAGUCUGUAGGUGACAAAUGACUGAGAUAGAGACAGCUCUCACCCCGGCACAUCUCAAAGACUACUGUCUCUGCGAACAGAGAUUGUUCUGAAGAAAAGGCUGAUCAUUAGCCCCCCACCACAAAAUUAUUCCCCAAAUCAAGUUUGGGUAAAAUGACUAUCCCUAGUAAUUGGCCAUUGUUAUAGACA
rnacentral:lncRNA from 1 species